GAGCUUCAGCAGCACACAUACUACAAUUGGAACGUUACAGAAAAGUUUAGCAUGGCCCCUGUGUGAGGAUGACAUGUAAAUCUGUGAAGUGUUCCCUAUUUCU
rnacentral:snRNA from 1 species